rfam:Catenaria anguillulae PL171 BCR44scaffold_11, whole genome shotgun sequence.
GUCACCUUAGUAUAGUGGUUAGUACUCCACGUUGUGGCCGUGGCGGCCCCAGUUCGAUUCUGGGAGGUGACA